AUUGAACGCUGGCGGCAGGCCUAACACAUGCAAGUCGAACGAGUGGCGGACGGGUGAGUAAUGUCUGGGAAACUGCCCGAUGGAGGGGGAUAACUACUGGAAACGGUCGAUAAUACCGCAUACCAUCGGAUGUGCCCAGAUGGGAUUAGCUAGGAGGUGGGGUAACGGCUCACCUAGGCGACGAUCCCGAGCUGGUCUGAGAGGAUGACCGGCCACAAUGGAACUGAGACACGGUACAGACUCCUACGGGAGGCAGAAGUGGGGAAUAUUGCACAAUGGGCGCAAGCCUGAUGCAGCCAUGCCGCGUGUGUGAAGAAGGCCUUCGGGUUGUAAAGUACUUUCAGCGAGGAGGCGUUACUCACAGAAGAAGCACCGGCUAACUCCGUGCCAGCAGCCGCGGUAAUUC
rnacentral:rRNA from 1 species